GGGACUGUAGCUCAGUGGUAGAGCACUUACCUUGCAUAUAUGAGGCACUGGGUUCGAUCCUCAGCACCACCU
rfam:Ictidomys tridecemlineatus contig037231, whole genome shotgun sequence.